AUUGAACGCUGGCGGCAGGCUUAACACAUGCAAGUCGAGCGGGGGAAGGUAGCUUGCUACCGGUCCUAGCGGCGGACGGGUGAGUAAUGCUUAGGAAUCUGCCUAUUAGUGGGGGACAACAUCUCGAAAGGGAUGCUAAUACCGCAUACGUCCUACGGGAGAAAGCAGGGGAUCUUCGGACCUUGCGCUAAUAGAUGAGCCUAAGUCGGAUUAGCUAGUUGGUGGGGUAAAGGCCUACCAAGGCGACGAUCUGUAGCGGGUCUGAGAGGAUGAUCCGCCACACUGGGACUGGGACACGGCCCAGACUCCUACGGGAGGCAGCAGUGGGGAAUAUUGGACGAUGGGGGAACCCUGAUCCAGCCAUGCCGCGUGUGUGAAGAAGGCCUUAUGGUUGUAAAGCACUUUAAGCGAGGAGGAGGCUACUUUAGUUAAUACCUAGAGAUAGUGGACGUUACUCGCAGAAUAAGCACCGGCUAACUCUGUGCCAGCCGCCGCCGUAA
rnacentral:rRNA from 1 species